UGGGGAAUAUUGCGCAAUGGGGGAAACCCUGACGCAGCAACGCCGCGUGAAGGAUGAAGGCCUUCGGGUUGUAAACUUCUUUGAUUGGGGACGAAAAAAAUGACGGUACCCAAAAAACAAGCCACGGCUAACUACGUGCCAGCAGCCGCGGUAAUACGUAGGUGGCAAGCGUUAUCCGGAAUUACUGGGUGUAAAGGGCGUGUAGGCGGGAAGAUAAGUCAGAUGUGAAAUACCCAGGCUUAACCUGGGUUCUGCAUCUGAAACUAUUUUUCUUGAGUGCUGGAGAGGAAAGCGGAAUUCCUAGUGUAGCGGUGAAAUGCGUAGAUAUUAGGAGGAACACCAGUGGCGAAGGCGGCUUUCUGGACAGUAACUGACGCUGAGGCGCGAAAGCGUGGGGAGCAAACA
rnacentral:rRNA from 1 species